rnacentral:misc_RNA from 1 species
AAUGCAAGUAAAGAUAAUGAACAUAAUGUGAUUCUAAGAACGAAUUAGCGAUACAAUAGUGCCAUUAGUGAUAAUGAUAGCGAUGAAAGAACUGCAGAUACGAUUAAUUGCUAUAUAUGAAUUUGAGGAAAUGUUUAUUUCAAACACCGAAGCGCCAAAUGUUUGCUGAAAAGUUAUGCACUUUUAUAUCUCAUAAAGAUCAUAGAAAACUCACGAAGAAUCGCGUCUUUUAAGAGUCGACGGACGAAUGAAUUCACGCGCGUUUCUCAACAGUUCAUUAGAUUACAUGGAGAAAUAUAUAUACAUAAACGAUUGUCAUGCAUCUGCCGAUGAACGUUAUUCUGUUGCUACAUUUGUAAGUACGUUGCUUCCUUUUUAAUAACACCGAGUGUCUGCUGAGUGCGGCAAAUAUAAUAACAAUAUCUCAAUUGUUUUCCAUUUAAGAUUUGAUGAAAUAAGCGGCGAAUGAAA